rnacentral:rRNA from 1 species
AUCCAGCGAACUUGGCAGAGAUUGCCUUGGUGGCCUUCGGGAACGCUGAGACAGGUGCUGCAUGGCUGUCGUCAGCUCGUGUUGUGAAAUGUUGGGUUAAGUCCCGNAACGAGCGCAACCCUUAUCCUUUGUUGCCAGCGAUUCGGUCGGGAACUCAAAGGAGACUGCCGGUGAUAAACCGGAGGAAGGUGGGGAUGACGUCAAGUCAUCAUGGCCCUUACGAGUAGGGCUACACACGUGCUACAAUGGCGCAUACAAAGAGAAGCGACCUCGCGAGAGCAAGCGGACCUCAUAAAGUGCGUCGUAGUCCGGAUCGGAGUCUGCAACUCGACUCCGUGAAGUCGGAAUCGCUAGUAAUCGUGGAUCAGAAUGCCACGGUGAAUACGUUCCCGGGCCUUGUACACACCGCCCGUCACACCAUGGGAGUGGGUUGCAAAAGAAGUAGGUAGCUUAACCUUCGGGAGGGCGCUUACCACUUUGUGAUUCAUGACUGGGGUGAAGUCGUAACAAGGUAGGCGUAGCGAG